UCAACGGGCCGGCUUGAACGUUGGACAGGCGAAUAUGUUGGAUACUAAGGAGAGAUUAAGGAAAAGCCUAUUAAAGAUCAAAUUAGGUUAUGAUUUUACAAAUUAAGCCCCAAAACAUCACGUUUUACAACAAAUUUGACAGAAAAAGUAGUUCAAUACGCAGUCAUGCUAUGUUGUAAUUACUGUAUUUACGAAUUUAGCACCAAAAUAUCACAAUGUAUUGAAAACAUUGACUACAAAAAUGCGUUGGAUAAUCCAGAACGUUGGAUAAGCGAGUGUUGGAUCAGUGAGACUCUAGUACCCAAUAUUGCCAUAUCAUGAAGAGUUUCGUGGCCGGAAUCGCUGGCUUGCUGUGAGUUUCCCGGGCUGUACAGCCAUGGUCCUGAAGCAUUCUCUCCUGAUGUUUUGCCCACACCUGUGGCAGGCGUCCCCAGAGGUUGUGAGGUCUGUUGGGAACUAGACAAGUGGGGUUGAUAUAUCCAAAAGGAUUGUAAUAGUCAGCAAAUUCCAUUGUCAGUUAGCUUUCUGCGCAUGCUCUGUAAAAUGGUAUAAAUUGGAAAGCCACGACAGGCAAGGGGUGGCAUUGCGUUUUCUGGGCAUUAGCUAACAUGGUCACCUGCUCUUGGCCAAAAGUCAACUAUCUUGAAGACAACUUCUGCUGUCAGUCUGCUUUCUUCACCCGCGUCCAAACGAAAUUCCACAACCAAUUGGUGACCCCGACGUGAUCUCGGGCCGGGUGAGUGUGAAAGGGACUCGAGGCCAUUUGGGGGCCUACCCGACGUCCACUCGGGGCGAGCAGGGAGAACGCACAGGGGAAAAGCGAGAAGGGUACUGUAGAGAUGCUGAGGUGACAGGGAAUGGAAUCCCUUUGGAAUCCCUCAGCUAUGCCACCAAUAUGUACAGAGGUGAGGUGUCUGACAGGAAGUGUGACAGAGAUGGAAUCCUUUUGAUUCCACACACACACACACACAGAUGCCACCACUUAAUAAAGAUGUCUUAUGAGAGAUAAUGUUAAUUAAUUACUUGUUGACUAUCUUCUUCUUCGCUGCCACCAAUAGAGGAGACUUCAGGCAGAUGGUACUGGUUCUUAUAAGCUUUCUCUAGUUGUUCCACUUUAGAUGUUGAUGUUACUUAACUUAAUAUAAGAGUAUGACAGAGGCUUGGUUAGAGUAAAAUCAAAACAAGUUCAUUGCAGGUACAGAGCUUGAUGGUUUCAGAUAACUUGGUAAAGGCACUUCGCUUAAUGGUUACAAACGGUUAUGAGGUGGUCAAACUUCCAAAAUAUUCCUUUCUUUAAGUUACACUAAACCCUGAUCCUACUGGAUCCCCUGGGAUUAAUUCUCCCUAAUCCACAGGCUCUAUAAAGACCCUAGACAAAUCACCUAACUUGCCUAGUCUGGUCUAACCUAAAUCUGACUCAAAUCUUCCUAUUUAAGCCAGCCUGAUUCUCCACACAAGAAUCAGAUCCUUCCCUGUGACUAGGAAAUCACAGACUGCUUCUGGGUUUUAAAAUAUUCCCCUCUUCCUUUCCAGGCGGCGGUUGGCUGUUGCUAUGGUAACCUGUUCUAGCACUCUAAGAUGGCUACCUUCCCCCAUACAUAAUGUCAAUUCAAAUACUCACCAUUUUAAACUUAGCCAAACCUGACUGUUUAAACAAAAUCAAAUACACAUUUCAUCUAUAUACAAAAUAUAAUUAUACACUUCUUCACACAAAUACUUGUGGGUACCCACAAAUCACAAGCCGCUGACCCCCUCUCGUCCUCCCUGCUCUUGCUACCGACUGGGGUGGUGGAGACACGGAGAAGUUGUUUUGAAGAACAAGUAGGGCCAGCGCUGACAGGAAAAGCUCGAUCCACAGGGAAGGUAUGGAAAGGGGACGUUUAGCUGCAGAGAAAAGAGUCCUAAUAGAGAAACCUAAUAGAGCAGGCGCUUCUCCAAUGAGAGGACUUGUCCCCGGAGGAACUUGAUCGAGCAGGCUCUCCUCCACCAAAAGGGUAAUCCAGUGGGAUCUUGGGGGCAAGACCCAUACAGAUAGGACACAUUUCCAGGAGAGGAUGACAUGUGUAUGUCAAUGGUGGAGCUGUUUUAAAGGUGAGUUGAUUGACUAGUUCAGAGGUAUUGUUUCUGUAUACUUAAAGUCCAGGGGACUUUUGACCUGGCAAGGCUUCUGUAAUAUUUCUCACUGAAUGGUUUAGAAUGAGCUCUAAAUUUAUAACGGCGUUAAAUCCUCAAAAGGGUCUUAACUGUAUAUAUACUGGAAGACUAUUUCUUUGUUAAUAUGCAUAGGUAUGUAAGAAAAUGUCAGAGCAAAAAAGACUAUGUUUGUUUAGAAUGAAUGUGUAUGUGCAAGGCCGGCAUGUUUGAAAAGGUGUGAAGUGAAAGACUGUAAAUUCUCUGUAUAUUUGGCUGAAUAUUUUUAGAAAGAAGAGAGGCUUUUCUGUGUUUUGAAAGAAAGAAACUUGCAGUUGAGUAGUCUAUUGAAAUGUGUGGCUGGAUGGCCAUCUGUCAGGGUGCUUUGAAUGUGAUUUUCCUGCUUCUUGGUGGUGGGGUUGGACUGGAUGGCCCACAAGGUCUCUUCCAAUUCUAUAAUUCUAUAUGCGUGUCAGCUGAGGUCAGCUGUAUUAUGUUUUUGACCGUUGUUUAUGGUCACCCCUUUCUCUAUAACUGUUUAUAAAACUAUAAAAAGGUAUUAAAGGAGGAUCCUUGUUACUUCUCCUAAAUAAUGCAUGCUUAGGAAUAGGAAAAAUAUUUAUACAUGUGAGCAUCAUAUUUUAAAUAUCUUUUGUGCAUAUGCAUUGAUGAUCAGAAAUGCAAUUGUGUAUGUACAAACACACACACACAACCACAACAGGGACAGGUUGUUUUAAAAGAAAGCUAUGUCAAGAUUUUUCAGAUUCCUAUUUUAAAAUUACACAAUGAAAAGAUAGCUGUGAUCCACAUUUAUUUUCAUACCUCCGUGAAGAGUUGUCUUUCUGCCUGUUUCAUCAGGUUUCAUUAAUUCCACUAGAUUUUUCUUCUGGACACGUCAGUAAAUUCUAUAACCAUUUGAAUGGUCAAUGUAAUGGGCCAGCCAAGAUCUUCAGAGACCAAAAAUUUGCCUCUGUUGCCCUUCCAUCCAAGCAUAUUUCCAUUUUGGUUGCUGUUUGUUGCAGUCUAGUACACUUAGCUUAAGGAAAAUAGAACAGGGAGUCCACAAAAAUGGCUAGAAAUGAGAUGUAGAAAUAAAUCUUCGUUCUUACAAAAUAUUUGUUAAUGAAAGGUAAAAAGAGACUGGACUUGGAAAAUCUGGGCGCUAUGCCCAGAAGUGAGAGGUCAAUUUUGAGCAGAUAAGAGUGAUGUCCUGGCCAUCGGCCCAGGAAAAAGAUAGUGAAAAUACAAAUAUUGCACUGGGGGGGAAAGUGAAAUAGGCUGAAGAGGUUUCUGUGGAUUAGAAUCCCCAGAAUCCCCGUAUGAAGGAAGAAAAAGGAUCCUUGGUGUAGUAGCUUGUUGUUGUAUGGUUUUGUUUUUAGAUGCAAAAAGCUUCAAGAGAUUAAAACGUUGUUUAAGAAUGUUUAAAGAAAGUUAGUGAAGAGAUGGGUUGUAGUGAAAGUUAGUGAAGAGAUUGCUGUGGUCUAAAUGAAAGGCAUUUUUUUUAAAAAAAGGCAAAGGUUUGGGAGCAAAAUUGCCAGGAGAGAGUUUGUGUCAGAGGAAAAGUGAAGUGAGAAGAGAAAUAGAGUUGUUGUUAGAAGAGGAGGGAUUUUAAAUCAGCUAUAAGUCAGAAAAGAAAAGUGAAGUGAGAAGAGAAAUAGAGUUGUUGUUAGAAGAGGAGGGAUUUUAAAUCAGCUAUAAGUCAGAAAAGAAAAGGUAAUAUAUAUUUAAAUAUUCUGGAGAGAGGGGGCUCUUGUCUGGUUGAGGCACGUGUGAAUGUUGCGGUUUGCCACCUUGAUUGGUGUUUAGUGGCCUUGUAGUUUCGGGGCCUGGCUGGUUACUGCCUGGGAGGGGGACUUUUGUUGAGAGGUGUUGGCUGCCCCUGAUUGGUUUUUAUCUGGAAUUCACCCUGUUUUUUGAAUGUUGCUCUUUAUUUGCUUUCCUGAUUUUAGAGUUUUUUUUUAUUCCUGGUGGCCAGAUUUUUGUUCAUUUUCAUUGUUUCCUCCUUUCUGUUGAAAUUGUCCACAUGCUUGUGGGUUUCAGUGGCUUCUCUGUGUGGCCUGACAUGGUGGUUGUUGAAGUGUUCCAUCGUUUCUGUGUUCUCAAAUAAUAUGUUGUGCCCAGGUUGGUUCAUCAGGUGCUUUGCUAUGGCUGACAUCCCAGGUUGAGUGAGUUACUCUGUGGGGCCUUUCAUGUUCCUUGAUUUGUGUUUGGGCAACUGCCCCAUGUAAGCCGCCCCGAGUCCCCGUGGGGAGUUGGUGGCGGGAUAUAAAUAAAGUUUUUAUUAUUAUUAUUAUUAUUAUUAUUAUUAUUAUUAUUAUUAUUAUUAUUAUGCUGCAUUUGGUGGUCCCUAUGUGAACUUGUCAUCAGCUGCAUGGUAUACGGUAGACUCUUGCAGAGGCGAGAGGAUCUCUCUUGUCCUUUGCUGAACAUAGCAUUUGUUGGAUUUUCUUAGUAGAUCUGUAGAUUGUUUGUAUGUUGUGUUUCUUUAUCAGUUCCGUUAUGUGGUCAGUGGUUCAAACAUGAGCCUUCUUAUGUUUGUGAUUCAGGAGCCAAACUUAUGUUGUAUACUGUGAUUCAUGUUGAAGCAAAUCUGUGUUGUUCUAUAAUGUAGAAACUUGAAUAUUUGAAAUGGUGGCCUUUCCCUUCUUCUUAAAGGUUAGGAGACCCGCCUCACGAAAUGUGAUAUUAGUAUCUGUGUUCCUGAAUUUCAGUAGUCCUUUAUUUGGAUCUUAUAGUAACAGUAAAGUGAGGGUUUGUGAUACAUGGUUUAAGCAGUUUCCUCCCUCUCUUUCAGUUAUAUGGGGUUAAUGGUUAAAGCAUUGUGUUUUAUUCUGCUUUAUUUAAAUCCUGGGUUAUCUUACUAUAAUCGGGCCUCUUCCACUGGGUAUAUUUGCAUUAGGGCUCUAAAGUCAAAAGGACAUGGAGAACCAAAAAGAGAAAAAAGGAGAAAAGGCUCCUGUUUUGAUCAAGAUUCAAAGGGGGGAGGUGAUCCAGGAAAGAAAAGGCUUCAGAAGAUGAUAUGCAUGUAUAGGAUCUGAGAACUUUUAUGAUUGUUAAUUGUAUUUAUUUAAAUUGCAGGAGAAUAAGGAAAGUACUGGAGACAUCAGAAAAAGCCUUUUUUGAAGGCUGGCAAGUGAACUAACAACUUUGUUUAAGUUUAACAGGAAUUUAAAGUGGCCACCAUCUAUAGAAGACCACGUUUAUGAAGAAAAUUGCAAUUGCCAUAAUACAUUGGGAGUUACAGUAUCAAUUGAAUAAGAAAUAAUAUGCACAUAUUGUUUGUGUUUUGUAGUUUUCAAAAGAACCAGAAUAGGAAAAAAGGAGUACAUUAAAAAAAACACACAUGCUGGAAAUGAUGACAUUGGUUAUUCAUAAUUUUGUGUCAAUGAUUACUGACUAUAUAUGUUUGUUUCAGAAAGUCAGAGCUGGCAGCCUCAGAUUUCAGGAAUAAACAGAAUUUGCUCAUUUCAAGAGAAUUAAUGAUUAAUGGUACAGGGAAAAGGGAGUGCAAACAUUGCUUUUACAGCAUUAAGAAAGGUACAGUGGAACUGGGGUUCAAAUCACAUACACAUGGUUAAUCAAAAGUUAAAA